CUGCGGUGAUGAUGCCCGAUAUGUGGUUUCGACUGUCUGAAGUCUGUGAAGACAACAUUUCCUUGGCUGUGUCUGAGCGC